rnacentral:rRNA from 1 species
GAUGAACGCUGGCGGCUUGCCUAAUACAUGCAAGUCGAGCGAAGCGGGGACGGGUGAGUAACACAUGAAUAACCUCCUAUAAGACUGGGAUAACUUCGGGAAACCUGAGCUAAACCCAAUACUUAUAGCUUGAUCCGCGCUGCAUUAGCUAGUUGGUAAGGUAACGGCUUACCAAGGCAACGAUGCAUAGCCGACCUGAGAGGUUGAUCGGCCACACUGGAACUGAGACACGGUCCAGACUCCUACGGGAGGCAGCAGUAGGGAAUAUUCCGCAAUGGGCGAAAGCCUGACGGAGCAACGCCGCGUGAGUGAAGAAGGUCUUAGGAUCGUAAACCACUGUUAUUAGGGAAGCGGUACCUAAUCAGAAAGCCACGGCUAACUACGUGCCAGCAGCCGCGGUAAUAC